rnacentral:lncRNA from 1 species
UUUAUUAUGUCACCCGAUCGACAAUGUCGGGUGACAUAUUGCUAUUCCUCUGUUUCUUUUUCCGUAUUAUUAUUAUUUUUCUUCCACCUAAUUUUGUCCGACCGCUUUCUCGGAACCAAAGGAACCAAUCUAAAUGAUAGUUCACUAUAACAAGGAACCCUGACUUUCGAGUUGCAGUGCAACUUUGGAACUAAAAAAUGGCUGCCG